GAUGAACGCUGGCGGCGUGCUUAACACAUGCAAGUCGAACGAUGAAGCCCAGCUUGCUGGGUGGUUUAGUGGCGAACGGGUGAGUAACACGUGAGUAACCUGCCCUUAACUCUGGGAUAAGCCUGGGAAACUGGGUCUAAUACCGGAUAGGAGCGCCUACCGCAUGUUGGGUGUUGGAAAGAUUUAUCGGUUUUGGAUGGACUCGCGGCCUAUCAGCUUGUUGGUGAGGUAAUGGCUCACCAAGGCGACGACGGGUAGCCGGCCUGAGAGGGUGACCGGCCACACUGGGACUGAGACACGGACCAGACUCCUACGGGAGGCAGCAGUGGGGAAUAUUGCAAAAUGGGCGAAAGCCUGAUGCAGCGACGCCGCGUGAGGGAUGACGGCCUUCGGGUUGUAAACCUCUUUCAGUAGGGAAGAAGCGAAAGUGACGGUACCUGCAGAAGAAGCACCGGCUAACUACGUG
rnacentral:rRNA from 1 species